rnacentral:rRNA from 1 species
UACAGAGGGUGCGAGCGUUAAUCGGAAUUACUGGGCGUAAAGCGUGCGUAGACGUUAUUUAAGUCGGGUGUGAAAGCCCCGGGCUCAACCUGGGAAUUGCAUUCGAGACUGAAUAGCUAGGGUACGGUAGAGGGAAGCGGAAUUUCCGGUGUAGCGGUGAAAUGCGUAGAUAUCGGGAGGAACACCUGUGGCGAAGGCGGCCCCCUGGUUGGAUACUGACGCUGAUACGCGAAAGCGUGGGGAGCAACAGG